GAUGAGUUCUCCCUGACUCCUUGAGAGUCCUGAAGGAACGUUGAAGACGACGACGUUGAUAGGCCGGGUGUGUAAGCGCAGCGAUGCGUUGAGCUAACCGGUACUAAUGAACCGUGAGGCUUAACCUUA
rnacentral:rRNA from 1 species